UGGGGAAUUUUGCGCAAUGGGGGAAACCCUGACGCAGCAACGCCGCGUGAGUGAUGAAGGCCUUCGGGUCGUAAAGCUCUGUCAGAGGGGAAGAAAUGCAGGGGUGCUAAUAUCAUCUUUGCUUGACGGUACCCUCAAAGGAAGCACCGGCUAACUUCGUGCCAGCAGCCGCGGUAAUACGGAGGGUGCGAGCGUUGUUCGGAAUUAUUGGGCGUAAAGCGCGUGUAGGCGGUUUGAUAAGUCUGAUGUGAAAGCCCCGGGCUCAACCUGGGAGGUGCAUUGGAAACUGUCAGACUUGAAUACGGGAGAGGGUAGUGGAAUUCCUAGUGUAGGAGUGAAAUCCGUAGAUAUUAGGAGGAACACCGGUGGCGAAGGCGGCUACCUGGACCGAUAUUGACGCUGAGACGCGAAAGCGUGGGGAGCAAACAG
rnacentral:rRNA from 1 species